rnacentral:lncRNA from 1 species
UCAUAGCGUCCUUUGUAACGGGUAGAACAUGAUGAUUAUUGCAACAGGAGGCACUGAACUCGCUGGGCAUUUGGAAAACCGUAUUUGCAGCUGCCCCUGGGCCUGCACCAAAGGCCCC